UGCUUGGUAGCGCAAUUGGUUAGCGCGUCUGACUGUUAAUCAGGAGGCUGAGAGUUCGAGUCUCUCCCGAGCAG